AUGCCGACAUAUCGUACUCUAUGUCGUGCACUAAUAUUUGCAUGGACCAAACCCUUGCGGAAAGCAACCUUUCCAUUGAAGAUUAAAAUUUUCGUAUGGCAGCUUCUCCAUGAUCGCCACCCAUUGGGGAGGGAGGUGAUCAGGCGACAUGGGGCUGGCGAUGGGCUUCGCCCUCUUUGUGAUGUCCUAGAGUCUGGGACCCACAUCUUCUUCGCCUGCACUGUUGCCCGCUUUCUUUGGAGCUUUGUCCGUGAGGUUUUGGCGUCGGAUGUUGGCUCUGAACAUGGCUGA
rnacentral:rRNA from 1 species